UGGAUUUCAUGAGAGCUACACAUUCCAAAAAAAGUUGGGACAGGUAGCAGUAAGAGGCCGGAAAAGUUAAAUGUACAUAUAAGGAACAGCUGGAGGAGCAAUUUGCAACUUAUUAGGUCAAUUGGCAACAUUGGGUAUAAAAAGAGCCUCUCAGAAGCCGUGUUUCCACCGCUGGAACUUUGGGCUGGUACUCGGUGCUUUCAAGUUACGCCUUCCUAGGAAGGCAGCCCCACGCUAGGCACCCCCUGCACGUUUGCCUAACACUCCUGCCAUGGGAAGACAUUUUCACCAGGGCAAGGAAAGGCCCUGCAACAAACCCCCUCCAAGGCAGAAUAACCCACCACCUGCUAAGCCCUGGGGAAAAUCGACUCCCGCCACGGUCGCGGGUGGAAGACCAUCUAAGCCUACCCCCAUCGACUCGAAAUGUAAGCGGCCUGCCUGAUGUUCGGCAGAUAGGGGCAUCGAGUCCGCGUUCACGGGCCACGAGCCCUUUGGACUCUCUUCCUGUCCCAAAACCCCCGUACAAAAGACGAAGGGUCUCCUGCGGAUGGAUCAGUUCCCCUCCUUUCGAGGCUGCCCAGCCCAUGUGUUUAAUGAACGUUGUGUGUUCCCCCCUCACGUUCAGGGGGUCUGUUGUGAGGAAAAGUGCAGAAGCAGUGUCACCACACCGCAUACACUCUGUUCCCCUCACCCAAUUAAUAAAGGCUUCGGCCCCAGUGUUUCCCCAACAGGAAACACACACAAAAAAAAAACACAUUAAAACAAACUAAUCAAAUGAAUUUGUUACGGAGAGAGGAUCUCUCUGGAAGAGCGCCACUGGAAGAGCGCAGACUUUUACGCACAGGGAACCCCCCUGGGGACGGUUAUGAUGCGGAAAGUUGUGACGACAGAUGCGUCCUUAACAGGCUGGGGCACCACCCAGGAGGGCAGAACGGUGAACGGUCUGUGGCCGAACAGACUACGUUCAGCGCACAUAAAUUAUUUAGAGCUUAUGACUGUAUGGAAAGCUCUGAAUCAUUUUCUGCCUCGCCUGCAGGGACAUUAUGUGCUCGUACGCUGCGACAAUACCACGGCAGUGGCUUAUAUCAACCGUCAGGGCGACGUGUGCUCGUUGAAACUUCACGCUCUAGCUUACAAGCUUUUGGUGUGGCGCAGACGGGUUUUCCUGUUGUUACGCACGACUCAUGUUCCGGGCUUUCUAAACAGAGGCGCGGAUCUUCUAUCGAGGGGAAACCCAAUCUACGGAGAUUGGCGCCUUCACCCGCAGACAGUGGAUAUGUUAUGGAUGAGAUUCAGACAGGCAACCGUAGACCUAAUGCCUCACGCGAAAACUACCAUUGUCCUAUGUUCUUCUCGCUAAAGGACGUGGACGCGCCCCUCUGUGUAGAUGCACUGGCCCACCCAUGGCCCAGAGUGCUGCUGUAUGCUUUUCCUCCCCUGUGCCUGAUAACUCCCACACUGGCCAGGGUGAGAGAGCAGGACCUGUCUCUCUUUCUGAUAACACCCAGGUGGCCCAAAGCACCAUGGCUGGCGGAGAUAAUCCCUCUGUUAUAUGCCGAGCCGUGGCGCCUCCCCCCCCCACACGGACCUAUUGCCAAGCGAACGGGGAGAUUUAUCACCAGCACCUGGAAAGGAUGGCUCUUUGGGCCUGGCCCGUGAGAGGAC
ensembl:lncRNA